AAUCAUCAUGCCCCUUAUGACCUGGGCUACACACGUGCUACAAUGGACGGUACAAAGAGCUGCAAGACCGCGAGGUGGAGCUAAUCUCAUAAAACCGUUCUCAGUUCGGAUUGUAGGCUGCAACUCGCCUACAUGAAGCUGGAAUCGCUAGUAAUCGCGGAUCAGCAUGCCGCGGUGAAUACGUUCCCGGGCCUUGUACACACCGCCCGUCACACCACGAGAGUUUGUAACACCCGAAGUCGGUGGGGUAACCUUUUUGGAGCCAGCCGCCUAAGGUGGGACAGAUGAUUGGGGUGAAGUCGUAACAAGGUAGCCGUAUCGGAAGGUGCGGCUGGAUCACCUCCUUUCUAUGGAGA
rnacentral:rRNA from 1 species